rnacentral:rRNA from 1 species
UCAAGUUAUUAAGGGUGCAGGGCGGAUGCCUUGGCACUAGGAGCCGAUGAAGGACGUGAUAAGCUGCGAUAAGCUUCGGGGAGUUGCACGUAAACUUUGAUCCGAAGAUUUCCGAAUGAGGAAACUCACUUAGAGUAAUGUCUAAGUAUCGUUAAGUGAAUACAUAGCUUAGCGAGGGGAACCCGGGGAACUGAAACAUCUAAGUACCCGGAGGAAGAGAAAGAAAUUCGAUUCCGUAAGUAGCGGCGAGCGAACGCGGAACAGGCCAAACCAGUGAAGUUUUCUUCGCUGGGGUUGCGGACAUAUCAUAACGAAGAGGUAUCGUAGAUGAAGAGAGUUGGAAAGCUCCGCCAUAGAUGGUAACAGCCCAGUACUUUAAACGAGAAGACUUUAGAUAUGAUCCAGAGUACCACGGGACACGUGAAACCCUGUGGGAAGCAGGAGGGACCAUCCUCCAAGCCUAAAUACUACCUAGUGACCGAUAGCGUAUAGUACCGUGAGGGAAAGGUGAAAAGAACCCCGGGAGGGGAGUGAAAGAGAACCUGAAACCCUGCACUUACAAGCUGUGGGAGCACAUUACUUGUGUGACCGCGUACUUUUUGUAGAACGGGCCAACGAGUUACGUUAAGUAGCAAGGUUAAGCACUUAAGGUGUGGAGCCGUAGCGAAAGCGAGUCUUAAAUGGGCGUCCAGUUACCCGACGUAGACCCGAAACCAGGCGACCUAUCCAUGAGCAGGUUGAAGCGAAAGUAAAAUUUCGUGGAGGACCGAACCCACGUACGUUGAAAAGUGCGGGGAUGACUUGUGGAUAGCGGUGAAAUUCCAAUCGAGCCUGGAGAUAGCUGGUUCUCCCCGAAAUAGCUUUAGGGCUAGCCUCAAGCUUAGAGAAACGGAGGUAGAGCACUGAAUGUCCUAGGGGGUAUUGCACUUACCGAAGACUAUCAAACUCCGAAUGCCGUUUUCUUUUACUUGGGAGUCAGACUGUGGGUGAUAAGAUUCAUAGUCAAAAGGGCAACAGCCCAGAUCGUCAGCUAAGGUCCCUAAAUGUACGUUAAGUGGUAAAGGAUGUGGGAUUGCACAGACAACCAGGAUGUUGGCUUAGAAGCAGCCACUCAUUUAAAGAGUGCGUAAUAGCUCACUGGUCGAGUGAUCCUGCGCCGAAAAUUUCCGGGGCUAAAACGUACUACCGAAGCUACGGCAUCAUUUAUGAUGGGUAGGAGAGCUUCCCAUACGGGUUGAAGCAUGACCGAAAGGACAUGUGGACUGUAUGGGAGUGAGAAUGUUGGCAUGAGUAGCGAGAUGUGGGUGAGAAUCCCACAGGCCGUAAACCCAAGGUUUCCAGGGGAAGGUUCGUCCGCCCUGGGUUAGUCAGGACCUAAGCCGAGGCCGAAAGGCGUAGGUGAUGGACAACAGGUUGAUAUUCCUGUACCACCAAUAACCGUUUGAGAAAUGGGAUGACACAGUAGGAUAAGCUAACCGCACUGUUGGUUAUGUGCGGGCAAGUAUUGAGGCAGUUCCGAUAGGCAAAUCCGUCGGAAUAAUGCUGGGGUACGAUGCGGAGCGAAAUUUAGUAGCGAAGUAGCUGAUUUCACACUGUCGAGAAAAGUCUCUAUCGAGGUUAAAGGUGCCUGUACCGCAAACCGACACAGGUGGGUGAGGAGAGUAUCCUAAGGCCAGCGAGAGAACUGUUGUUAAGGAACUCGGCAAAAUGACCCCGUAACUUAGGGAGAAGGGGUGCCUUCGAAAGAAGGCCGCAGAGAAUAGGCCCAAGCGACUGUUUACCAAAAACAUAGGUUUCUGCUAAGUCGCAAGACGAUGUAUAGGAGCUGACGCCUGCCCGGUGCUGGAAGGUUAAGGGGAUCUGUUAGAGCAAUCGAAGCAGUGAACUUAAGCCCCAGUAAACGGCGGCCGUAACUAUAACGGUCCUAAGGUAGCGAAAUUCCUUGUCGGGUAAGUUCCGACCCGC